rnacentral:rRNA from 1 species
UACGGAGGAGGCAAGCGUUAUCCGGAAUUAUUGGGCGUAAAGCGUCCGUAGGUGGCACUUCAAGUCUGUCGUCAAAGACUGGGGCUUAACCCUGGAAAGGCGGUGGAAACUGAAGCGCUAGAGUGCGGUAGGGGUAGAGGGAAUUCCCGGUGUAGCGGUGAAAUGCGUAGAGAUCGGGAAGAACAUCGGUGGCGAAAGCGGCGAGCUGGAUCACUACUGACGCUGAAGAACGAAAGCUAGGGGAGCAAACGGG